rnacentral:rRNA from 1 species
UACGUAGGGGGCAAGCGUUGUCCGGAUUUAUUGGGCGUAAAGAGCGUGUAGGCGGCCGUACAGGUCAGCUGUGAAAACUCGAGGCUCAACCUCGAGACGUCGGUUGAAACCGUACGGCUAGAGUCCGGAAGAGGAGAGUGGAAUUCUCGGUGUAGCAGUGAAAUGCGUAGAUAUCGAGAGGAACACCAGUGGCGAAGGCGAGUCCCUGGACACUUCCUGACACUGAGGCACGAAAGCUAGGGGAGCAAACAGG